AUUGAACGCUGGCGGCAUGCCUUACACAUGCAAGUCGAACGGUAACAGGUCUUCGGAUGCUGACGAGUGGCGAACGGGUGAGUAAUACAUCGGAACGUGUCUAGUAGUGGGGGAUAACUACUCGAAAGAGUGGCUAAUACCGCAUGAGAUCUACGGAUGAAAGCAGGGGAAUGCACGACCUUGCUCUACUAGAGCGGCCGAUGGCAGAUUAGGGAGUUGGUGGGAUAAAAGCUUACCAAGCCGACGAUCUGUAGCUGGUCUGAGAGGACGAUCAGCCACACUGGGACUGAGAAACGGCCCAGACUCCUACGGGAGGCAGCAGUGGGGAAUUUUGGACAAUGGGCGCAAGCCUGAUCCAGCAAUGCCGCGUGCAGGAUGAAGGCCUUCGGGUUGUAAACUGCUUUUGUACGGAACGAAAAGCCCCGGGUUAAUACCCUGGGGUCAUGACGGUACCGUAAGAAUAAGCACCGGCUAACUACGUGCCAGCCGCCGCGGUAA
rnacentral:rRNA from 1 species